rnacentral:misc_RNA from 1 species
GAUGAAGAACGUAGCGAAAUGCGAUAAGUAAUGUGAAUUGCAGAAUUCAGUAAAUCAUCGAAUCUUUGAACGCACAUUGCGCCCGCCAGUAUUCUGGCGGGCAUGCCUGUUCGAGCGUCAUUUCAACCCUCAGGCCCCGCCUGGCGUUGGGGAUCGGCGCGGCCCUCUCCGGGCUGCCGGCCCCGAAAACUAGUGGCGGUCUCGCUGUAGUCCUCCUCUGCGCAGUAGCAACGCUCGCACUGGAACUCGGCGCGGCCACGCCGUAAAACACCCCACUUCUGAAAGUUGACCUCGGAUCAGGUAGGAAUACCCGCUGAACUUAAGCAUAUCAAUAAGCGGAGGA